rnacentral:rRNA from 1 species
GAUGAACGCUGGCGGCGUGCCUAAUACAUGCAAGUCGAGCGAAUGGAUUAAGAGCUUGCUCUUAUGAAGUUAGCGGCGGACGGGUGAGUAACACGUGGGUAACCUGCCCAUAAGACUGGGAUAACUCCGGGGAACCGGGGCUAAUACCGGAUAACAUUUUGAACCGCAUGGUUCGAAAUUGAAAGGCGGCUUCGGCUGUCACUUAUGGAUGGACCCGCGUCGCAUUAGCUAGUUGGUGAGGGAACGGCUCACCAAGGCAACGAUGCGUAGCCGACCUGAGAGGGUGAUCGGCCACACUGGGACUGAGACACGGCCCAGACUCCUACGGGAGGCAGCAGUAGGGAAUCUUCCGCAAUGGACGAAAGUCUGACGGAGCAACGCCGCGUGAGUGAUGAAGGCUUUCGGGUCGUAAAACUCUGUUGUUAGGGAAGAACAAGUGCUAGUUGAAUAAGCUGGCACCUUGACGGUACCUAACCAGAAAGCCACGGCUAACUACGUGCCAGCAGCCGCCGUAA